AAAGACUAACUGAAAAAUAAACUAGUCUAACUGAAGCACAAUCUAUAUAAGCUGAAAUGCAAACAAGUCUAACUGAAGCACUAUAUAGACUAUCUGAAACACAAAGAAGUCUAACUGAAGCACUAUAUAGACUACCUUAAAAAUAAUCUAGGCUAUUGUUUCAGUUGAUGGUGGUCUGCUUUUAGUUGAUGUUGGUAUUCUUUCAGUUGAUCUUUGUAUUUUUUCAGUUGAUGCUGUUUUUUUUUCAGUUAGUUUUAUUGUUUGAUUAAACUUUCUUUCUUUCAGAUGUGAUAAAUCCUUGUCUAAGAAGAAAGCAAAUCUGAUUUAUCACCAAUCAAGUUUUCAUUUUCAAGAUCUAAUCCCGAUCAACAGAAAGACACAUUUGAUAGAUCGAAUUUCACUGAGCAAGAAAUAAAGUCAAUUAAUCUACAAGUAUUGUCAGACUAUUCCCAUUUAAAUGAAGUGGUUAGUAAUUUGAGUGAUGAGCAAAAAAGAGACAUUAGGGAUAUUGGGUUUGGGAGUCUCUUAGAUAUUAGGAUAAAGAAGUUUUGUCCUAAUCUGAAUUUGGAGGUGUUGUUAAAUUACAAUGCAUCUGGAAUGAUGUUUUCAACAAAGAAUGGUAAACUGAUU